AGGUCAUUUCAGAAUGGUUUGUGGGGUUGUGAGUCCAGGAGCUCCCAGUGUUUUGCCAUUCUUCAUAGGAUGCUAUAGUCACUCAACAGUGCUCUGCUUUCCUGAGAUGUGAGACAU
rnacentral:snoRNA from 1 species